rnacentral:rRNA from 1 species
UACGUAGGGUGCAAGCGUUGUCCGGAAUUAUUGGGCGGAAAGAGCUCGUAGGCGGUCUGUCGCGUCGGCUGUGAAAUCCCGGAGCUCAACUCCGGGUCUGCAGUCGAUACGGGCAAACUGGAGUACUGCAGGGGAGACUGGAAUUCCUGGUGUAGCGGUGAAAUGCGCAGAUAUCAGGAGGAACACCGGUGGCGAAGGCGGGUCUCUGGGCAGUAACUGACGCUGAGGAGCGAAAGCGUGGGGAGCGAACAGG